GCGCUCGUGGCCUAGUGGUUAGCGCCCCUGUUUUUGAAAUUUUCAUCGCGGGUUCGAACCCCACUGGGGUCA